rnacentral:tRNA from 1 species
GGCCGAAUGGUGUAGUUGGUUAUCACGUGUCGUUAACACUGACAAGGUCCUGAGAUCGAGCCUCAGUUUGGUCA